CGUACACUCCUGCGGGAGGCAGCAGUGGGGAAUAUUGCACAAUGGGCGCAAGCCUGAUGCAGCCAUGCCGCGUGUAUGAAGAAGGCCUUCGGGUUGUAAAGUACUUUCAGCGGGGAGGAAGGCGAUAAGGUUAAUAACCUUGUUGAUUGACGUUACCCGCAGAAGAAGCACCGGCUAACUCCGUGCCAGCAGCCGCGGUAAUACGGAGGGUGCAAGCGUUAAUCGGAAUUACUGGGCGUAAAGCGCACGCAGGCGGUCUGUCAAGUCGGAUGUGAAAUCCCCGGGCUCAACCUGGGAACUGCAUUCGAAACUGGCAGGCUAGAGUCUUGUAGAGGGGGGUAGAAUUCCAGGUGUAGCGGUGAAAUGCGUAGAGAUCUGGAGGAAUACCGGUGGCGAAGGCGGCCCCCUGGACAAAGACUGACGCUCAGGUGCGAAAGCGUGGGGAGCAAACAGGAUUAGAAACCCGGGUAGUCCCA
rnacentral:rRNA from 1 species